UCUUCAGAUUUGAUUUUAAUAAAAGUUUCGAGAUAAUGGAAUGGAUUAUAGUUUAUUUCGUUGAUGAUAAUGUCGUUGAGGCAGUACCAUCUAAUUGGAUGUCCGACGACACUUGUUAUUGACCACCUUAUAAAGGAUAAAAAGUAAUGCAAGCGAUAUCAUCAUGUACGUCUCCAACAAUUGGUGAAUGGCAAUUAUGUAACAUACGGCAAUUAGCAAAUGGAAAAAAAUAUGAUAACUUGUUAGAAGCAAAAGCAAAGUGUGCGAAAGCAAAACAUACGUCGGAUCUUAAUUCCGAAGUGGAAAAUACAAGACAAAGAAAGAAAAAACGAUUUUUCGAUGAAAAUAAUUCAGGAGACGAUAUCGCUCUGGAUGAUAGUAACCUUACCCGUAAACAUAAAAUUUCAUUAUGUCCCACACGACAAACGCAAAAAAUAAACACCAAUGUUUCCGAAAGUUCAAGUGACUUUUCCGAAAAUGAUAUACGGAAUACAAAACUGCCUUUUUCACCAUCUAAAACUGCUGUAAAAUCAUUAUCUACUUCACAAUCUGCAGUCAGAAAUAAAUGUGCGAUUGAAUCAACAGCAGUAAGAAAAUCUAAUGAGAAAGAAAAUCGUGAACAUCUACCCAGUACAUCUACUUCCAAUAAAUCUUCAUAUGAAACUAUACAACCAUCUGAUUAUCUGUAUGAUGUUAAUUUCAAAAAACAAGUAUUACAAUUGCAAAUAAUUAAUAUCAGAUAACAACAAAUGUCAGAAGAUGUCAGUAUGUUAUUGAUGAAAGCAAAUUCGGAGAAAAAUGAACCGAUUGUUUCAAAUGAAGAUUUUAUAUUUAAAACUUAUAAUUUCCCUCUGAAAACUGUAGCAGAAUUGGAAGAACUAGAAGAAUUUUUAAUCCAGGAUGAAAAUUUCAACACUUGUCAAAGAAAUUUUACAAAUUAGGGGAACAUCUUACAAAAAUAUGGUGAAACGUAUAUUGCCAAGAAUAAUGUCUAAUGAUUUGGCGAAGACAUAUAGUUGGAUAAGUUUUAAAGGAAAACAGAAGUUUUCGAAUCUUCGAACUUGCUCAGCAAUAUUAACUGCUACUCAAAAAACGCACGGUUGUUCCGAAUCUACGAUAGAAGAUGUAAUCAAAUAUUGGCUUGUAAAAGCUACUGAACGACAAAAGCAAUUACAGAAAGAAAAGAAAUCUGCAAGUUCCGCGAACCUCAGCUGUUUCUCUGAUGGAGAUUUUAAAAGCAAGAUUCUUAUAGCACCAUGUAGAAGCAAGAAGUGCUUAUAGAGUCAUUUAAUAUUCCAUACAUUACACCUGGUCCUGUAUACAGAAGAAACUGGCGAAAUUCUGUUGCUUUAUACUUUGAAAAAAUAUCUAGAGAUCUAGGGCGUCUUGCAAACUCGGCAGGACAAUAUUGUGUCAACAUUUUUAAACGAUCACUAAUUCUUGAAAUCGAUCUUCCACACAGUUUCGACAUUCGUGAGUAUUUCCCAUAUACCCAAGCAGACAAUAAUUUUUUUACUACACCUAAGCAUACUAAAUGCAUAUAUUCAAAGGGGACCUGCGAAACCAUCCCCAUAGGUAAAACUGCUAACGGACUUGUGCCCUCUUUGUGAUGAUUUUCAUCACGACGCAAUCUAUAAUUUUCAUCCGUACGAAGAAGAUGUUUGACACCAUGAAAUACAUUGCGAUCAUCGAUCUGCAUGCCAUUAACUUUGCACUUAGAGCAUGGGUGAUAAGAUGUAUGACCACGAUGAUGUAAAAGAAAAACUCGAGCAGGUGUAUCAGCUACGAAGGCUCUUAAUCUAAUUGUGCAUACAACGACACGAUGCCUUGGUGUGUUCAGCAAGGUUCUUACGUCUUUGGGCAAAUGAGACAAACAAUAAAGGAUGGUUCUGACAAACUACUAAAACAUGAAGCCAAUACAUAAGAACCAUCUGAAGAGAUGGAAGAUGAAUAUGAUGCUCUAUCAUCCUCUACGUUUACUGCUUAUGCUGGCAAUAUUUUCGUUAACGGAAGGCAAGUUAUUAAAAUAAGUACAUUGCGAUAAAGCUGAAACAUUUUGCAAUACGGAAUUAUC